CCUAAGGUAGCGAAAUUCCUUGUCGGGUAAGUUCCGACCCGCACGAAAGGCGUAAUGAUUUGGGCACUGUCUCAACAAUGCACCCGGUGAAAUUGAAAUACCAGUGAAGAUGCUGGUUACCUGCGCCAGGACGGAAAGACCCCAUGGAGCUUUACUCCAGCUUGAUACUGGGAUUCGAUAUUGCAUGUACAGGAUAGGUGGGAGACUGAGAACUGAUGACGCCAGUUGUCAGGGAGUCACUGUUGGGAUACCACCCUUGUAGUAUUGGAUUUCUAACCAGCAGCCGUGAACCGGCUGGGGGACAAUGUCAGGUGGGGAGUUUGACUGGGGCGGUCGCCUCCGAAAGGGUAUCGGAGGCGCUCAAAGGUUCCCUCAGAAUGGUUGGAAACCAUUCGAAGAGUGCAAAGGCAGAAGGGAGCUUGACUGCGACACCGACGGGUGGAGCAGGUACGAAAGUAGGACUUAGUGAUCCGGUGGUAUAAAGUGGGAUUGCCAUCGCUCAACGGAUAAAAGCUACCCUGGGGAUAACAGGCUUAUCACUCCCAAGAGUUCACAUCGACGGAGUGGUUUGGCACCUCGAUGUCGGCUCAUCGCAUCCUGGGGCUGAAGUAGGUCCCAAGGGUUGGGCUGUUCGCCCAUUAAAGCGGUACGCGAGCUGGGUUCAGAACGUCGUGAGACAGUUCGGUCCCUAUCCGGCGUGGGCGUAGGAUAUUUGAGAGGAGCUGCCCUUAGUACGAGAGGACCGGGGUGGACUGGCCGCUGGUGGAUCUGUUGUAUUACCAAAUGCAUAGCAGAGUAGCCAAGCCGGGACGGGAUAAACGCUGAAGGCAUCUAAGCGUGAAGCCCCCCUCAAGAUGAGAUAUCCCAUAACGUCAAGUUAGUAAGACCCCUUGAAGACGACGAGGUAGAUAGGGCAGAGGUGGAAGUGCGGUAACGCAUGGAGCUGACUGUUACUAAUAGGUCGAGGGCAUAACCAA
rnacentral:rRNA from 1 species